rnacentral:rRNA from 1 species
UAUUGGACAAUGGGCGAAAGCCUGAUCCAGCAAUGCCGCGUGAGUGAUGAAGCCCUUAGGGUUGUAAAGCUCUUUUACCCGGGAUGAUAAUGACAGUACCGGGAGAAUAAGCUCCGGCUAACUCCGUGCCAGCAGCCGCGGUAAUACGGAGGGAGCUAGCGUUGUUCGGAAUUACUGGGCGUAAAGCGCACGUAGGCGGCUUUGUAAGUUAGAGGUGAAAGCCUGGAGCUCAACUCCAGAAUUGCCUUUGAUACUGCAUCGCUUGAAUCCAGGAGAGGUGAGUGGAAUUCCGAGUGUAGAGGUGAAAUUCGUAGAUAUUCGGAAGAACACCAGUGGCGAAGGCGGCUCACUGGACUGGUAUUGACGCUGAGGUGCGAAA